CAUCUACGGAGAGUUUGAUCCUGGCUCAGGACGAACGCUGGCGGCGUGCUUAACACAUGCAAGUCGAACGCUGAUCCAUCUUCGGGUGGUGAUGAGUGGCGAACGGGUGAGUAACACGUGGGCAACCUGCCCCCGGCUCUGGGAUAACUCCAAGAAAUUGGGGCUAAUACCGGAUGUUCACUGCUUCCCGCAUGGGUGGUGGUGGAAAGG
rnacentral:rRNA from 1 species